UGGGUUGGCCGGACGGUCGCGGGUUGCGCAAGCAACGCGAGGAAAGUCCGGGCUCCACAGAACAGGGUGGUGGGUAACGCCCACUCGGGGUAACCCGCAGGCCAGUGCCACAGAAAUGAAACCGCCUCCGCCUUUGGGCGGCGGUAAGGGUGAAACGGUGGUGUAAGAGACCACCAGCGUCCCGGGUGACCGGGAUGGCUAGGUAAACCCCACCCGGAGCAAGGCCAGACAGGCGCCGAUCGAGGGCUGUUCGCCCGAGGCGCCGGGUAGGCUGCUCGAGACCGUCGGCAACGGCGGUCCUAGAUAGAUGACCGUCUCCUGCGCGGGGGUAACCGCGCGCGGCGACAAAACCCGGCUCAUAGGCCAACCCAUCCA
rnacentral:RNase_P_RNA from 1 species